AGGAUGAGUUGAGAAUUAACAUACCAGAAGGACUCUAGCUGCAGUUUAGGUGUCCAUUGGUUACGACCCUGACGCUUCGAAGACACAGACUGCGUAAUUUCAUCAAUGCUGCAUAACAUUUUGCGCAGCUACAGACGGUCACAUGCGGUUGGACACAUGGAUGAGAGAAUCAUUUUCGCAGUGUCCUCAAAACCGUGCCUUUUUGACACAAAUGCUGACAGCUACAGGGACUUAAACAUAAAAAUUGCUGCUUGGAGUCAAGUGUCCACGAUAGUUGAAUUACCAGGUCAAUCUAGUAGUGAACUUGUGCUAGAUGUGGCUAGUUAGCUAGCUAGCUAACUAACCUAGCCAAAUGAGGUGUGUGUGAAAGAUAGAUAGUAACAUAAAUAAUGCUAGAUACUACCCCUGAUAACUUGGCCAAAUAAUCAUGUUUGAAAGAGUGUGAAUGUGAGAGAGUGUGAGUGUGUAUGAGAGAGUGUGAGUGUGUAUGUGAGAGAGUGAGUGUAUAUGUAAGAUAAAUAGUAAUUGUGUUCGAUACUACCCCUGAUCAUUUGGUCAGAUAACCGUGUGUGUACAGUAGGUGACAUGUCCAUGAUAGCUAUCUAAUAACUAUAGUUAAUCUAGGUAAUGGUUUGGCUUAUCAUGUUCAUGUCUAUGUAGAAGAAGACUGUAGGAGGAAGUGGAGAGGACUCGGGGACAAGUAUCAGAGAGAGAGAGAAGGGCAGAGAAAGAGAAGAAGAGGUCUGGGUCAGCAGCUUCAGAGAUGGAGUCAAUUUAGCCGACCAGCUCACAGGAAGGACAGGAAGAGGAGAGGAGUUGUCUGGUUGUUGUUUUGACCUCCCUCAUUGUACCUUUCUUUUCACACAUGUCAGUUCUGUUUAAAUUCAGUCAAUUCAUAAAGUCAUUUGUUUCUAAAGUCUUAGGAUAGCAUUCAUUAUUAGUGUUCCAUAGAUUUCUGAAUUGACGGAAUUGAAACUCACACACCGGAGAAUUCACAGAUGCUCUUGUUGGUCUCUUACCAGACUAAAGGUGAAUAUAUUUAUUUCAUUUAAAACCUCUUGAAAACCAGGGUGUUGAAACUUCACAAAAAGUUAUGUUCCAUCGACUGGUCCAUGACGUCCAGGGGCCAUUUGCUUGUUUAGCUGUGUUAUGGCUACACAUUAUUUUCUUCUUUCAGAGACAGAGACACACACACCUCUCCUCCAGUCCUCUCUGUCCCUCAGAUCUCCAGUGCCCUGCCCUCUCUCUCUUUAUGGCCAUGUCUGAAGUUCCCCUACUACGUCUAGGCUUUAUGAGUAGUCCCUGUAUCGGUCUGCAGUUGUGCCAAAAAUACAUGCUCUUGUUAUUCUCUUACAGAUUACAGGCUGGCUACAUGUUAUUUUUGGUAUUUUUACACGCACACAUGCACACCUCUUUCAAUGUUGUUUUAUUUUUUUGUACAAUUUUUACAACACACAUGCCUGUCAUGUUCUUUCCUGUACUUGAAUACUUAUUAAAUUCUAAUGUUUUCAUAGUCA